UACAGAGGACUGCAAGCGUUAUUCGGAGUUCACUGGGCGUAAAGGGUGCGCAGGCGGUUGGGUGUGUCAGAAUGUGGAAAUCCCGAGGCUCAACCUCGGAACUGCGUCUGAAACUACUCGACUAGAAGUACUGGAGAGGGUAACGGAAUUCACGGUGUAGCAGUGAAAUGCGUAGAUAUCGUGAGGAACACCAGAGGCGAAAGGCGGUUACCUGGACAGUUACUGACGCUCAGGCACGAAAGCAUGGGGAGCAAAAGGG
rnacentral:rRNA from 1 species